rnacentral:rRNA from 1 species
GGACACCGUAAUCAUCGAGCGGCGGACGGGUGAGUAACACGUGGGCAACCUACCCUUAAGACUGGGAUAACCGCGGGAAACCGUGGCUAAUACCGGAUAAUACUUUUAUACAACGGUAUAGGAGUUGAAAGGUGGAUUUCUAUCACUUAAGGAUGGGCCUGCGGCGCAUUAGCUAGUUGGUAAGGUAACGGCUUACCAAGGCGACGAUGCGUAGCCGACCUGAGAGGGUGAUCGGCCACACUGGAACUGAGACACGGUCCAGACUCCUACGGGAGGCAGCAGUAGGGAAUCUUCCGCAAUGGGCGAAAGCCUGACGGAGCAACGCCGCGUGUGCGAAGAAGGUCUUCGGAUCGUAAAGCACUGUUGUUAAGGAAGAACGACAGUAAGAGUAACUGCUUACUGUGUGACGGUACUUAACCAGAAAGCCACGGCUAACUACGUGCCAGCAGCCGCGGUAAU